GCAUGACAGUGCGAUAGGGGGACUCCGAGUGCGAGGGCAUACAGUCCUCGCUUUUCACCACCGUAAGGUGGUGGUGGAAUAAGAGCUGGGCAAGACCGGUGCCAGCCGCCGCGGUAAUACCGGCAGCUCGAGUGAUGGCCGAUAUUAUUGGGCCUAAAGCGUUCGUAGCCGGCCGGACAAGUCCGUUGGGAAAUCUGCGCGCUUAACGCGCAGGCGGCCAGCGGAAACUGUCCGGCUUGGGGCCGGAAGACUCGAGGGGUACGUCCGGGGUAGGAGUGAAAUCCCAUAAUCCUGGACGGACCGCCGGUGGCGAAAGCGCCUCGAGAGGACGGACCCGACGGUGAGGAACGAAAGCCAGGGUCUCGAACCGGAUUAGAUACCCGGGUAGUCCUGGCCGUAAACGAUGUCCGCUAGGUGUGGCGCAGGCUACGAGCCUGCGCUGUGCCGUAGGGAAGCCGUGAAGCGGACCGCCUGGGAAGUACGUCUGCAAGGAUGAAACUUAAAGGAAUUGGCGGGGGAGCACUACAACCGGAGGAGCCUGCGGUUUAAUUGGACUCAACGCCGGACAUCUCACCAGCACCGACAGUGCGCAGUGAAGGUCAGGUUGAUGACCUUACUGGAGCCACUGAGAGGAGGUGCAUGGCCGCCGUCAGCUCGUACCGUGAGGCGUCCUGUUAAGUCAGGCAACGAGCGAGACCCGCACUCCUAGUUGCCAGCAACACCCUAGGUGGUUGGGUACACUAGGAGGACUGCCGCUGCUAAAGCGGAGGAAGGAACGGGCAACGGUAGGUCAGUAUGCCCCGAAUGUGCUGGGCAACACGCGGGCUACAAUGGCCGGGACAAUGGGAUGCUAUCUCGAGAGAGAACGCUAAUCCCCUAAACCCGGUCGUAGUUCGGAUUGAGGGCUGAAACUCGCCCUCAUGAAGCUGGAUUCGGUA
rnacentral:rRNA from 1 species